UUUUUUCUUAAACUAUAAGUAAUAGGUCAACUAUAUAUAUUGUAUAGAAGCAUUGUUAACUGAACAUGUCUGCCUGGCAUGGUUCAUCUGACCUUGACCUCAUUUUCAAGGUUCAUUGGUCUUUGUUUAGUUAUCUUGGUUAAUGUUAUGUUUAUGUGACAGUUGUAAAAAAGCUUAGCUUUAUACUAAGGACUAUCAACAUAAAAUCAAUGAUUAGUAUAGAAGGCGAGACAUUUCAGUGUGUGCACUCUUGUUUAC
rnacentral:lncRNA from 1 species